rnacentral:lncRNA from 1 species
ACAAAUGAAGAGCCAAAUUUUGCUAGAUGAAUCGUGGGUGCUGCUGACCUCCAUUUUCUGUUUAAUUCUUUCCAAAUAAAGAAGUUUCACAGAGUUUGAAAAUUGUUGGGGUUCUUAUUUUGUUUGGAAUGCAGUAUCUCUCCAGUCCGAUUAUGUGCUGGCACACAACAGAUUUCUUUGGCGUCAAGUGCAUGUAUUUCAGUAGUCUUGGGGAAACAAACAACACGGGUUCUUAUGAGUAAAGAGUACUUGUGGGUGGUUAACUUUGAUUAUCAACUAUUGCUUAUGUGCUUGAUUCAUUAAAUGCAUUCGGUUCAGCAGUUCUCUAGUCUUUUGUAUACAUAACUCUUUUACCAUUAUAAUGAAACGUGGAGAAGUAUAUUUUUAUUUUGCUGUGAUACACUGACAUGUCUACAGUUGGUAAAUACAGAAGAGUGCAAUAUAAAUGAGAGAAAGGGUUUGCUCGUGUUGAAAGGGAUCGUUUGAAAAUUGUUCCUAAUGGUGUUUGAUUCUCGGGCACCAACAAACCAACAUGCUUUAGAGGAACUACCAAAUAUGUGCUACUUAAAAAUUAGAAUGACCCGAAGAUGGUAGACGAUUUCGUUUUAGAAAUUAUAAUGGUGAAGAAUCAUAUUAGAAUCUGCUUUCGCGAAAGGUAAAGUUCUAGCUCGUGUCUCUCUUUAAGGUGUUAUGCGUUUAGAUG